UUUGGUGUUGCCAUGGCUGUGGCAUAGGAUGCAGUUGUAGCUCGGAUUAGACCCGUGGCUCUCCCUGCAGGUGCAGCCAUAAAAGGAAAAAGAAAAACACACUCUAAAAUAUUUACCAGUGAAAUAAUAUAAUAUCUAGGGUUUGCCUCAAAAUAUUCAGAUAUAUUCAUAUAUCAUUUAUAUCAUUAAAAAGUAAAUAAAAUGCACUGCAAGUAAUUUUCUGUUAUGGAAUAUUCAUAAAACAUCAAAGAAAUUAAAGAAAUCCCAUUUACUAAGCUCUUGCCCUGUGCCAAGCAGAGAAGAGCAUCUACAUGAUCUCAUUUAUGUUCCAGACAACUCCAACAGGCAGGUGCUAUUAUCCCCAUUGUGCAGGUGACCAAUUGAAGCCCAGAUGGUUUCAGAGGUGAUAGAGUCAAUAUUCGAUUUAGGACUGAGUCUUUUCAGGAUACCCCAGCUCUUUCAAAAGAAAGCUUUGGGUAAAUCCUUCAUGGACAAAGAGAAACAGACCAGCUAUUUCCCAAAUGUGUAUGAAACAUACCCAAAGGCUCCUGGAAGCCUAAUGGUUCCGUAGAGCAUGGGACAUAUCAGUCUAUAUCUUCUAGGUUGGACUGCUCUGCCUGGAGUUCCCAAUGAAGGGAGAUCCCACUGAGUGGUUCUCCUUUAGGAGUGAUGGCUGGUUGGAUCAGAGUGGAUAUCCAGUAAUAUAAACCAGCCAAUAAACUGUCUGGCCAGCUACCAAAGAGUCUCUCUUUCUCUUAAGCAUUUAAACUAAAAAACUGAGAGGAUGUAGUUAGUCAAUCAUAAAUGUUGGAAAUAAAAGAUUAUGAUGUAGAGGAAGAGAUUCAUGCAGGAUGAAUAAGCAAAGUAGGUAGUAGUAGACUGGGAGAAAGAGAAAGAAUGAGGCAGACAUAAAAGAAGAAGCUGAGAUGAGGUGGCCCUAAAUCAUAACAGAGGGUCCUGGGUUCCCAGCCCUUGAAUUACUUUUGAAUGUACAAGAGGUGUCCUGUUAUAAUCUUACAAUUCUCCCCUUCCCUUUUCACUUGGGUAAAUUUGAGUGGAGGCCAUUCUUUGCCAACAAAAGAGCCUUAUCUAGAGCAAUUAGACAUCAUGGUCAGUUAAUUCUGUCAUUAGAUUUUAUUUCCAGGAUCAUUUCACAAAGAUCAACCCCCACUUGCUGCUCCCUGAAAGAAUGAGCUGUCAACUCUCAGUCGUGCUCAAGACACAAACUAGUUUACGCCCUGUUCCUUAAUUCUCCAUCACUUUCCUGCUUCCCUCCUUUCUUCAUGCCCAUUCCCAGAGUCUCCUUUCCUCUGAAUCUAAUCUUUCCAAAUUCCAGCUUAUAAUCAUCCUGAAGGUUUCCUGACCAAUGUAGGCCUCAAUAAUUUCCAUUUCUUCUCCCAACCUGCCUAAUUUUACUCUUGUUUUACACUUUUCAUGCACUGUCUUGUAUUUUUUGCUAGCUUUCCAUGCCAUGUCUUUUCUGUCUGACUUACUCAUGAAUUCCUAAGGUCAGAAGCUUACAUCUCUCUUCUCUUCUUUGUGUGUCACUAAAAAUGUUUUCGGUCCCCUGUUUUGCAUACCACUUAUUUCAAAGUAGAAGCUCAGCAAAAACUUGCUAAUGAAUUGAUGAAUAAUAUGUGAUUUGCAGACAUGUCUUUUAUUUUCAACCUCUCACAAACAAGUGCCAGCAAAUUCACUUUCACACACUUAGUAAGAAUCAUUCUGAAAAAUUCACUCCUCUGAUAAUAUGGGGCUGAAGACAACUGCUUCCCGCUUUUGAAAACAUCUGUGCUUCACUUUUCUUAUGCAAACAUUAGAAAGGUCAAAAAUGUUUUCCGCGCAAGAUUAAUGUGUCAGAGGGAUUCCUGGCAAGUAGAAGCAGCUGGCUCCCACACCCAGGGUUGGAAACCUUUGCCCACAGAAAGUGCAGGGAAGAGUAUGGUCAUGGUUGAAACUUGUACAUGGUGGGACCCCCACUUCUGCUGCCUAAGCUACAAGUAACAAGGAAUCCUCUGAUGUGGACUCAGUAACAGGAUCGGAAAACUGAGAAUAAUUUGCCCAGAGUCACACAGUUGACAAUCAGAAGAAUCAGGGCUCAAAUUCAGACAUCUCUUAAAUCGAAUUCAAUGCUUUUUAACCUAUCCUCACUAUGAACAGCGCUCUAUUAAAUGUGAAUCUUCAAAAUGUAAUAAAUUGAAGAAAUAAGAGAAAAAUAAAAUGAAAGAAAGGAGAGUUAUUAUUUAAUAAGUAUGGAGUUUCAGAUUUGGAAGAUGAAAAAAUUCUGGAGAUGGAUGGUGGUGACAAAUGUACAACAAUGGGAAAACACUUAAUGUCACUAAAUUGUAAGCUUUAAAAUUAUUAAAAUGGUAAAUUUUAUUUUAUGUAUUUUUUUGCCACAAUAAAAUUAAGAAAGGAAUGAAGGAAGUAAGGAAGGGAGGAAGGAAAGGAGGAAGGAAGAGAAGAAGGGAAACUUUGGGGGUAUUUUAAGAACCAGUUGGAAAAGUUUGCUUUGAGUCAGCAAAGACACUGUCAAGGAAGAUUGGUCUAUAGGCAGUUUGUUCAUUUGAAUAACUUUUUUCAGUUGAAGAAUUCAACAUAAAAGUGUUAACAGCUCAUUGCAAAAUUUUAGAGAGACAAUUCUUUAAAAAAAAGAAGAAAAAAAAAUCCAUAAGUUUUACAAGUGAUAUUUUGAUAUAUUUUCUUCCAAUUUUCCCUUUCUCUUUUGUACAGAAUCCAGAUCAUACAAUUUUGUAUCUUUUUAAAGGAUCUUUAGCCUAAGUGGUUCCUCCUCAAGAUACCCAUGACCCCUCUAGCCAGCAGGUGGCACUCUGCAGAUGUCAACUGGCCUUUCUGGGCACCAUGUCCACUUAACUCCAAGGAGCCACGGCGGUCAUUAGAGUGCAAUGUCCUUGCUUUCACAGAUGCCUCCUAGGAUUAGCUCCAGCACAGUGCAUCCUGGGUAAAUGAAACAAAGCAUCCCCACUCCUCAAACACUAGCACUUUUAAUUCCUCUGUGGCCCAGCAGGUUAAGGAUCUGGAGUAGUUGCUGCAGGGGCUUGGGUGGUUGCUGUGGCACCAGUUCGAUUCCUGGCCCGGGAACUUCUAAAUACCAUGGGUAUGGCAAAAAACAAAACAAAACAAAAAAACCCCAUAUCUUAAGCACUUACUUUUGCAUGGCCCUGUACUAGGUACAGAGGCAGUCAAGAGAGGCAUAAGCCCUGGACACUCUGACAUUUUUUUUUUCAUUCCAUCUUGGAAACUAUAAAGGCUCAUUUACCCUGGGUUACAGGACUGUGUUUCCUUCCUUCCUUCCUUUCCCUUUUUAAUGGCUGCACCCACAGCAUGCGAAAGUUCUCUUCGUGGGAUUCAAUCUGAGCCACAGUUGCAGCAAUGCCAGAUCCUUUAACCCACUGCCCCUGGCCAGGGAUCAAACCCUCACCUUCACAGCAAACCAAGCUGCUGCAAUUAGAUUCUUAACUCACUGCACCACAGCGGGAAUUCCAACUCUCAGUUUCUUAAGGGUUGGGUCGUUUGUUCAUUUUUUGCCUGCUUUAUUUAUUGAACAAAUAUAUAAUUAGAACCAAAAAAAAUGUAGAAUUGUGCACCCCAUUUGUCUAUCCUUAAACGUCUUACUUUCAGAUAAGGAAAUGGGCUGAGGAUGCUCAAGCCAUGCUCCCAGCCAGACGCUCCUCCUAAAUCACUCUGGACACCAUCGUAUUAGGCUUUUCCCAAGAGAUCUCCUGUGACUCAAACACUUCCGAUUUCUCUAACCGUCUCAAGCCCAGAAGAACCCCUGGGGGUAUUGAGGAAAUGAUUCUCCAUGAGCACAAUUUCCCUUUUUAGCAAUUUUAAGGUGGCUUGCUUACAUGAGCCUAUCAUGAAAAGACUUUACAGGAGGCGGUGGUGCGUGAUGGUGGACCAUGAGGAGGAGGUAGUGAGAAGCACAGCGUUGAUGUCUAUCUUCACUUCCCCAAGAGGAAGGCCUGCCCCAUGCCAACCUCCCAUGAGAACUGGAAUCGACCUAAGCCUGGGUUUAAAACUCUCAUUUUCUUCAUUUAAACAACUGUUCGUGUCACAGAGGACCCAGGGGAAGACACAUGGCUUAAGGACGCUGCCUUGACUCUCAACUUUUCGAUGAUCCAAAAGCUAAUGUGCCUCCUAUGAUUGAUGUGCCAUAAAGCAUCACACAGCCGAAUGAUCUGUAUUUAUGAUAUCCCCUAGGAAGUCCGUCCUGGCUCACUGAACAGGGGUCAUAGAUUCCCCCCAGGUUCCACUCCAUUUAAAUAGGACUCUCUCUGCUAAAUGACCACCUCAGCAAGUGUGCACACACCACUACAUCAAGAAUAGCAAACUACGGCCCGCCAGCCAAACCUGGCCUUCUGCCUAUUUUCAUACAGCCCAUGAGCUAAGAGUGGUUUUGACAUUUUAAAUUGUUGGGGGAAAAAAUCAGAAGAAGAUUUCGUGGCGUGUGAGAAUUACAUGAAAUUCACACUUCAGUGUCCAUAAAUAAGGUUUUACUGAAAUUCAGCCAUGACCCCUUGCUUACAUGGUGUCUAUGGCUGCUUGUGCACUACAGCGGCGGAGUUGAGUAGUUGCAACAGGGACCUCGUGGUCCACGAAGCUGAAAAUAUUCACUAUAUGGCACUUUGCAGAAAAAGCAUCCUGGCCAAUGUGCACUGAACGUGUGACCAGGGCUCACGUUUCCAUUGUUCUCUGCCUGUCCACACUGAAGCUGCUUGUUCCUUCUUUGGAUGGAGGAAAGCCUGUCUCUCAUUUCACAUAGCACUGCCUGUUAGGCUUAUUAAUUUGUGACAGUGCAGAUGACAGGCCACUAAGCUCUGCUGCUGGUCUUCCAGUAUUAAACACUCAUGGCUUAGGAUGCUUAGUCAAUUUAUCAGCACAUUUAAAUACUAGUUUAGUAUCUCAGGCUCUGCUUGACACUCUGGAUAUCAAAGUUCCCAGCCAUUACGGAUUUAAAAUCUGGUUGAGGGAAUAAGCUACCCAGGUGAAGCCCUUAAAGAACAAGGGAAUGAUACUCGCACAGGUAUAUUCCUCUUUGUGGAGCACUCAGAGCAGAAGAUACCAGGCCGGUAGAUGAAGUCUGCCAUCAGGGUACAGACAUAUGAGGACAUGCUUGAUUACAAACCUGCUUUAUAUAUAAUUAUGGAAUCCAAAACUUAGGUGUCUGCAAGUCCCAUUUCCUUAACUUAAAGAAGAGGGAACUGGUGCCCACAGAGGUGCCACAGCUGGUUAGUUGAGAACCAAGACUAGAAUCAGAUCUGCAAGUCAGUUAUAUUUGUCUGCAGCACUUCAGAUUCACAGGCUAUUUAAAGCACAAGUGAAGAAUGCUUAAAACUAAAUAUUGACUACAUUUAUCUUCAUCCUGUAGCAUAUGUAUAUAGUCCUGAAGCCAUCAUUUUAGCUUUCAAUUUCACCUCGUGCUGACAAUCUAGGAAGGAAAAGAUGCCAAAUUCUGAUCUUUCUGCUCUUCUGUGAUGUUUCCAAUUAUUCAAAGUGGGAGGGGAAAUGAAAAGAUAAUAAGGAAUUUUUUUUUUUUUUUUUUUGCUUUUCAGGGCCCCAC